AUGUCGAAGAAAGGAGGUAAAAAGGCCACGGCAGGCGGCGGCGAGCUGUCCCGCUUCCUGCAGCCGCACCUCCAGACCAUCACGGACACCCUCCAGAUGAUGUCGGAGGCGGCUCCCGGGGGACUGGAGCGGACGGAGUGGUCGGAGGUCGUCGCGCUCGGCGAUGUGGUGUCCAGGCAGGCCACCGUCGCUGGGAUGGUCUGGAGCGGAGACUUGCCUGGUGUGGAGACGCUCAAGGAGAACAUUGCCGCGUAUUUCAACGUCCUGCAGGGUUUCCUUUUGGCUUGCCAUGGAAGCACGGUCGGUGCUGGUCCUACUCUUCACAAGUAUAUCACUAGUUCUGCAAAGGGUGUGGUGGAUGCCAGCUUCUCGUUGUUCAAGCUAGCUCUUUCUGCCUAUGAAUCUGGCAGUCCUGACCGGAAAACAAUCAUACCUCCAGUGACAGGAACUGUAUGGGAAGCUUGUCUUGCUCUUAAGAAGGUGCCUGCAACCAACUGUAUCGCCAUAGGGCGAGCCAUGACGCAGAUAUGUGUAUGUCUGAAGGAUAUCCUGCGUGAGAUGAAAGAACUCCCAGUUGGUGAUUCUGAUGAUACCAAAGCUGGAAAAUCUUCCAAUGGAGAUGCCGCCAUGAGCUUUUCAGAUAAGGAUGAAUCCUUCUCUGAUCUUGAGGAAGAUGAAGGCUUCACUGAGGAGGAGAUAGCCGUCGCCAAGUUGAUUAUCGCUGUUACAGCAGAUUCGCUUGAUGCGGUGAAAGAAACAAUCCGUUUCAUCACUAGUUUGCUCAAGAGCUCUGGCAACCAAAGCGGUGCUGCUGAGGACAAGGUGGAGUCAAUGGAGAAUUUGCUGAGCCACUGCAGGGACGUUGCUGACCAGGUUAACGAGCUUGGGGCCUCCGUUUAUGCACAAGACCCAUCUGAAAUGAAGUCAGCCAUAAAAAGACUGUACGUUGGCAUCACAGGGAUGUGCCAGGAAAUAGCGGGCCUCGGUGGCUCGCCCAAGAACGCCUAUGCAGCCUUCAGUGGAUUUGAGAAGUCGUUGAAAGCUCUUGAGGAAGAGAUAGGUGAGGAUGUCGUGGACGAAAUGAAGAAUCUUACCAUCAGCCCAUCCUGA
rnacentral:rRNA from 1 species